CUUUUACAAUUGAAAUGUUCCUGAUCUUAGUGCAUACCUGUUAAUUUUAUUGCGACGUUCGAAAAGGUUUUCUAAACCUGUUCAUAUAUCAAAGAGGCGAUGCCUAAAGUUUUCCUAGUAAUCUGAACUGUUAUCCUGCAAGUAGGGUUAUUGAAGAUAACACACAUUAAAAUGAAUGCUGAGAUCGUCAACCAUAUAGAUUGUUCCAGGAAAAAUUUAACAGCAAUGCCUGAUGUUCUGCAAAAUUCUACAACAGAUCUAAAUCUCCGAGGAAAUCUUUUACACGUAGUUCCUGCAUGGUCUUUCCAGAAAUCAAAAAUAUUAAAAAACAUAGAUCUAUCUUAUAAUCGGCUGAGGUUGAUUGAACGGGGAGCUUUCGAUGGACUAGUCGAACUUUCCAUUCUCAACCUUAGAAGUAACUUAUUAACUUCAAAAUUAUUUAAUGUGAAUAUUUUUCAAGGUUUAAUUUCUCUUCAGGAACUAGUUAUAAAAAAAAUCAUUUUUACGAUAAUUAUACAUUUUUUCAAUCCGAAAUAUCUCGAGUAAAAUCAUUGGUCAAGUUAAAAAUGGACCAUACCAAAUAGAUAAAUGUCUUUGUAAUUUAUCAAACCUACAGAACCUUGAAAUGUUAGGACUGCCUGGACAAACAUAUGCAGAUAAUUCAUUUCAAAACCUAAAGUGUCUUUAAAUAGAAACAUUAUUGCUUGAUUUUGUGAUUUCACUAGCACCAAACACGUUCAUAUUUUUUCCGUAUUUAAAAACGCUAGGGAUAGCAAUACACACCGCUCGUGCUACGUACGACGUAAUAAGCAACAUAUUUAGUUCUUUGAAGAUUUUCAAGGGUAGAAAUAUGACGGAAAUAAGCGUUCCUGGAAAUCCUCAUAGAAACGGAUUUGUAUUGGGCCAUUCUCACUUUGCAGUACUUGAACAAAUAUGUCUACAAAAGUUGAAUUUGGUGGGUGAUAGUAUACUUGGUGUAAAGUUCAAUCCUUUUUUGAGAUAUGGAUAUAAGGAGAAUUGUUUAGAAGAAUUAAAUUUGUCCGAUAAUUUACUGUUCGAUAGAAAAGAUGGAUAUUAGCUUGCAUUGUGUGCAUUUAAACAUUUGAAAAUAAUCAGAAUUCCACACGAAGUAGAUAAAGACAAUAGAGUAAAACGAUCCACCAAAAAUGACGUAUCUUACUCGUUUUGCUUGCCAAAAACUAUAAAAACAGUUGGACCUCCAUUCGCACGUUAAAUCAUAUAACAGUAGGAGAAUUGCUAAUCUAACUAUUAUCAACGGGUCAAAUUUAAAAGUUUUAAAUAUGGCUAACGUGACAGUCCAAGAUUGUAAUGGUACGGUUAAUGGCAUUGAAAACUUAGAGUAUUUAGAUAUGUCAGGAUUUAACUGCAAAUUAUUGAGUGAACAUCGUCUCUCGCAUUUACCUUAACUGGUUACUUUCAUUGCACAAGAUGCAAAACUUGGAAUCGGGUUGAACUCCCUUGAAACUGCCUCAGAUUUCUUUAAGAUGAAUUUAGAUCUCCAUCAUAUUGAUCUGAUGCAGAAUAUCAUACAUUCAUUACCAGAUGGCUUGUUCCAUCAUCCUUUUAGACAAAAGAUUUUUAUAAUAUUGGAUAAAAACAACUUACAAUCACUACGAAACUUCCCGUCAAAACCGAAUACUAUUGAACAAAUCAGUUUAAAAUACAAUAAAUUUUCGUGUCUUAGCGAUGACAAUAUCGCUAAACUUGACAUAAUAAAACCUGCAAGUGUUUUUCUUCGUGGAAAUCCGAUUGAAUGCUCUUGUAAGACGUUAAGUUUUCUGAAAUGGGUGCUCCGUUCAGGUAUUAUAGGUGAUGUCGAUGAAGUAGAAUGCGUCCUCCAAAAUGGAACUCUUGCAAUUUUGUCUCAUCGUUACAACUCUAAUUUGGCAUUAAAAUGAGAAAGAUCAUAUUAUAGAAAACAUUUGUACUUAGUUACAAGUUGAUUGGACUUCAAGUUCAAAAAAGACUACCGUAACCAAAAACUUUAACAUGAAGCGGGACAGACGGACGAACGAACGAACGGACAGACGCACAGACCGAAACACAUUUUGCCCCUCUACUUUCGUAAGUGGGGCAUUAAAAGGAACAAAAUAACAGUUGGUAAGCUCGAUCAACGGUUGCGUCCUAAUAUAUAUAUAUAUAUAUUAAUUUGCAUAUUUACAUAUUAUCUCUCGUUGUGCUGAAUCUGUCAUUUUUUGUAUGUUCAGUUAAGAUUUUGUCUGGAUGGUUAUUGCUUUUUCCCCCAUAUUGCACUGAUAAGACAAUUUGACUUGUACAAUAUACAGGUAUAUGACUGUCACUAAACAAUUUACACUGUUCACAGGCGUUGACAUUAAGCGCUUUCUUUCAAAAUGUCCCAUAAGAAUUGACAUCUUGUCAUGGGUUAUUGUCAUUUUCACUAAAAAAAUUCUGCAUCAUAGAUUUAUGUUCUUCGGACUGAAUGCACAAUGAAAUCAUUUUUUUUUAAUCUUAUAACUGAUAAAAUUCAAGGGAUCGUCAGCCAAAAUAUCUGAUAAACCAUUUAAAAAAUGAUGAUUAUGUUAUAGACUACCCUUGAUUUAUGAAAAUGAAGAAAUAAAACAUCAGCAACACUA